GGACUACUAGGGUUUCUAAUCCUGUUUGCUCCCCACGCUUUCGCGUCUUAGCGUCAGAAACCGUCCAGAUAGCCGCCUUCGCCACUGGUGUUCUUCCCAAUCUCUACGUAUUUCACCACUACACUGGGAAUUCCACUAUCCUCUCCGGUCCUCUAGUCACCCAGUCUCGAAUGCACAUCUUGAGUUAAGCUCAAGGCUUUCACAUCCGACUCGGGCAACCGCCUACACGCGCUUUACGCCCAGUAAUUCCGAACAACGCUAGCCCCCUUCGUCUUACCGCGGCUGCUGGCAC
rnacentral:rRNA from 1 species